GACGAACGCUGGCGGCGUGCCUAAUACAUGCAAGUAGGACGCAGUUGCGAACGGGUGAGUAACGCGUAGGUAACUGCCUAUUAGAGGGGGAUAACUAUUGGAAACGAUAGCUAAUACCGCAUACUAGUAGAUGGACCUGCGUUGUAUUAGCUAGUAGGUAGGGUAAUGGCCUACCUAGGCGACGAUACCUAGCCGACCCUAGAGGUGGAUCGGCCACACUGGGACGGAUACACGGCCCAGACUCCUACGGGAGGCAGCAGUAGGGAAUCUUCGGAAAUGGGGGGAAACCUGACCGAGCAACGCCGCGUGAGUGAAGAAGGUUUUCGGAUCGUAAAGCUCUGUUGUUAAGGAAGCGGUACUUAACCAGAAAGGGACGGCUAACUCCGUGCCAGCAGCCGCGGUAAUUC
rnacentral:rRNA from 1 species